CCUACGGGGGGCAGCAGUGGGGAAUAUUGGACAAUGGGCGAAAGCCUGAUCCAGCCAUGCCGCGUGUGUGAAGAAGGCCUUCGGGUUGUAAAGCACUUUCAGUGGGGAAGAAAGCCUUGGGGCUAAUACCCUCGAGGAAGGACAUCACCCACAGAAGAAGCACCGGCUAACUCCGUGCCAGCAGCCGCGGUAAUACGGAGGGUGCGAGCGUUAAUCGGAAUUACUGGGCGUAAAGCGCGCGUAGGCGGUCUGAUAAGCCGGUUGUGAAAGCCCCGGGCUCAACCUGGGAACGGCAUCCGGAACUGUCAGGCUAGAGGGCAGGAGAGGAAGGUAGAAUUCCCGGUGUAGCGGUGAAAUGCGUAGAGUUCGGGAGGAAUACCAGUGGCGAAGGCGGCCUUCUGGACUGACACUGACGCUGAGGUGCGAAAGCGUGGGUAGCAAACAGGAUUAGAUACCCCUGUAGUC
rnacentral:rRNA from 1 species